rnacentral:rRNA from 1 species
GGGUUGUGAGGUUAAGCGACUAAGCGUACACGGUGGAUGCCCUGGCAGUCAGAGGCGAUGAAGGACGUGCUAAUCUGCGAAAAGCGUCGGUAAGGUGAUAUGAACCGUUAUAACCGGCGAUGUCCGAAUGGGGAAACCCAGUGCAAUUCGUUGCACUAUCGUUAACUGAAUACAUAGGUUAACGAGGCGAACCGGGGGAACUGAAACAUCUAAGUACCCCGAGGAAAAGAAAUCAACCGAGAUUCCCCCAGUAGCGGCGAGCGAACGGGGAGCAGCCCAGAGUCUGAAUCAGCUUGUGUGUUAGUGGAACGGUCUGGAAAGUCCGACGGUACAGGGUGAUAGUCCCGUACACCAAAAUGCACAGGCUGUGAACUCGAAGAGUAGGGCGGGACACGUGGUAUCCUGUCUGAAUAUGGGGGGACCAUCCUCCAAGGCUAAAUACUCCUGACUGACCGAUAGUGAACCAGUACCGUGAGGGAAAGGCGAAAAGAACCCCGGCGAGGGGAGUGAAAAAGAACCUGAAACCGUGUACGUACAAGCAGUGGGAGCACCUUCGGGUGUGACUGCGUACCUUUUGUAUAAUGGGUCAGCGACUUAUAUUCUGUAGCAAGGUUAACC